rnacentral:tRNA from 1 species
CCCUGGUUUGCUCAGUUGGUAGAGCGCUCCACCUGUAAUGGAGAGGUCCCGGGUUCGAUACCCGGACCAGGCG